CCUACGGGAGGCAGCAGUGGGAAUAUUGCACAAUGGGCGCAAGCCUGAUGCAGCCAUGCCGCGUGUAUGAAGAAGGCUUCGGGUUGUAAAGUACUUUCAGUCGUGAGGAAGGUGGUGUUGUUAAUAGCAGCAUCAUUUGACGUUAGCGACAGAAGAAGCACCGGCUAACUCCGUGCCAGCAGCCGCGGUAAU
rnacentral:rRNA from 1 species